ACAAAAGAUGAGCAUGCGUCCAUUAGCUAGUUGGUAAGGUAACGGCUUACCAAGGCUACGAUGGGUAGGGGUCCUGAGAGGGAGAUCCCCCACACUGGUACUGAGACACGGACCAGACUCCUACGGGAGGCAGCAGUGAGGAAUAUUGGACAAUGGGCGCAAGCCUGAUCCAGCCAUGCCGCGUGCAGGAUGACGGUCCUAUGGAUUGUAAACUGCUUUUGUACAGGAAGAAACACUCCCUCGUGAGGGAGCUUGACGGUACUGUAAGAAUAAGGAUCGGCUAACUCCGUG
rnacentral:rRNA from 1 species